GCCAGCGGAGAUGCGCGGCUGCGUGGACGCGCGAUGUGUGUGGGACAUUGAGUUUACGACUGACAAAGAGGACAGGUCCGUACUUCAGCCGGUUAUGCUGCUGUGAUGCAUUGACAUAAAAUUCCAUAGACAAAGAUGAUGUCAAAGACAAAAAUCAUACCAAAAGAGAUCUGAAAAGGUGUUGAUAUUUUCAGUUAACCUGACAAUUUAAAGUAGAAAGCGCUAUAAGCUUUUGAAUGAACAAAUGUUUUAUUGUGACAACAUUGUAUCAAGAGAGAAGGAGUCAAAUAAAUGAACAAGCUUGUUCAUGGUGGUACAUCUCUACUAGUUAAAAAUCAUGUAUAGUAGUGCACAGUCAGUUGGCCAUGCUGAGGCUAGUCCAAUGCAUUCUCCCAAUCUCCAUUCAUCUCCUAGAAUCAGUCACAGACGGGUAAAUGCUGGCAGAAGAGGCAGUGAGUGUGGAGGUGGCAGAAAGACCCUUUCUAUGGAGAAUAUCCAGUCCCUCAAUGCUGCCUAUGCAGCCUCUGGUCCGGUCUACGUAAGUGAUCAUGAGGCUCUAGCCUCCACUGCGUACCCAAAAGGCACUAUGACACUGGGCCGCAGCACAAGCCGUGGAAAAUCUGCCAUUAUGGGCAGUACCCCCAACAUUAGUUCUUCCUUGGGGCAUCUUCAUUUAGAUUCAUUAGCAUAUGGAGAUCAUGGAGCCAUGUACCUCCUACCACAACACCAAUGGCCUUCUUCACCACUGUUGAGACAAGCUGUGCGAAGUGUGGCCAGAAGAGAAGGAAAUCCCCUGAUAGAGCACCUAAGGGAAUUGCAAAUGGAUAACACCAUGUUACGGAAAGAGCUAGAUGUGAGAGACAGCACUCUUGGUUCUUCGGUCAACAGUAUCAAAACCUUCUGGAGUCCUGAAUUAAAGAAGAAACGAGGGAUUAGAAAAGACAGUGUUGCAAAGACCUCCAUGGUGAAGGAGAAAAUGAGCGUAAUGAAGGACAAGAACCAGAUGACCAUCCAGGAUUUACAGGAUGAGCUUUGCACCCAGAGAGACUUGAAUGAGCUCCUGCAGCAAGAGAACAGUGCAGGCUCAUCAGGGUCACCUCCUGACUGUUUCCCUUACCUGGAGCUCAAUGAAGACAACUUCCAUUAUCUCCAAGCUGAGAAUGAGCAGCAAACCAAGGAGCUUUUCCUUCUACGGAAAACUCUGGAGGAAAUGGAGCUACGCAUGAAAAAACAGAAACAGACACUGAGUGUCCGAGAUGAAUCCAUCAAAAAGUUGCUGGAUAUACUUCAGGAAAAGGGUCCUACCCGGUCUGGGCUGCCUGAUGAAGAUGGACUGAGGGUCUGCCGUGCUGAGGACAUGCUGGGUCAUCUGGGGGACAUCCAAGAGCUGAAAGAGAAGGAGAAUAAACACGUAAGAGAGGACACCAAAAUUUCUUCACUGGAGCGGAACAUCCGUGAACUGGAAGAUGAGAUCCAGAUGCUGAAGACCAACAGUUUCCUGAACACAGACAACAAAGAUGAGAGGCUCAAGCAAAGUGACGUUUACAAGAACCACUCCAAGUUCAUGAAGAGCAAGAUUGAUCAGCUGAAGCAGGACUUAUCAAAAAAAGAGUCAGAGAUGUUGGCCCUGCAGACUCAACUGGAGACUUUGACCAAUCAGAAUUCAGACUGUAAACAGCACAUUGAAGUUCUGAAGGAGUCCAUUACAGCAAAAGAGCAAAGAGCGACUAUCAUGCAGACAGAGGUUGAUGCCCUGAGGCUGCGUCUGGAGGAAAAAGAGUCCUUCCUGAAUAAAAAGAGUAAGCAGCUUCAGGAUCUAACAGAUGAGAAAGGCAUUUUAACUGGGGAAAUACGUGACCUGAAGGACAUGCUGGAGGUGAAAGAGCGCAAGAUUGUUGUGCUGCAGAAGAAGAUUGAAAACCUACAAGACCAGUUGAAGGAUAAGGAUAAGCAGUUGGCAUGCUUGAGGGACAGAGUGAAGUCUCUACAGACUGACUCCAGCAACACAGACACAGCCCUUGCCACUCUUGAGGAAGCCCUCUCUGAAAAGGAGCGAGUGAUAGAGCAGCUAAGGGAGAAGAAAGAAAAAGAAGAGUGGGAGAAGCAGGGGGAAAUAGAAGUCUGUAAGAAGGAGAACAAGGAGCUAAAGGACAAGAUUGCUUGCUUGCAGGCACAGCUUUUGGAGAAAGAGAGUCUGCUGCAUGGAAAGUCAUUGGCCAUUGAAAGAGAAGAGUCUUCACAAAUGAAUUCAGAGAUCUCAGAGCGAUUAAAAGUCCUUGAAAAAGAGGUGACAUUCCAUAAAGAGGAAUCUGGGAAAUCUAAGGCAGAGGUGGACAGACUUUUGGGAGUUCUUAGAGAGCUGGAGUCAGAGCGCACUGAAAAGGACAAGACAAUCUCUGAACUAGAGAGACAAGUGAAGGAAUGGAGUAAUAAAACCCUGUCAAGUGCUAAACCCCCCCAGAUGGGAGAUUCAAGAAGCCCUCAUGCAGCAGAGGCUCAUAUUACCCAAGCUUCGGCGCAAGAGACGGCUGAGAAAAUCAAAGAGCUGGAGAAAGCUCUGCGAGAGAGCAUGAACACCUCUACUCAUAGAGAGGCUUUGUGGGUUCAGGAGGAGCAGGCACAUGCUCUAGCACAGAGACAGCUGGAAGACCUGAUGGCUGCAUUGGAGAAGACAAGACAAGAGUUGGAUGUGACAAAACAGCAGCUGUCCUCCACCCAAAAUUCUCUUGCUGAGAGAGAAACUCACCUGAGCAGCAUGAGGCAGGAGCGUCGAAAACAACUGGAGGAAAUUCUAGAAAUGAAGCAACAAGCCCUGUUGGCAGCCAUCAGCGAAAAGGAUGCUAACAUUGCCCUGCUAGAACUUUCUGCUCCUAAAAAGAAGACAAGCCAAGAAGAGGUGAUGGCCUUGAAAAGAGAAAAGGACAGGCUCAUGUAUCAGCUCAAGCAGCAGACCCAAAGUAGGAUGAAACUCAUUGCUGAGAAUUAUGAAGAUGGUCACUUUUAUCCCCAUCAUCCUCACCAUCCACACCAUGGUCACCCUGAACACAUUCACUAUCGUAGACCAUCAAGAGGAUUGUCCACUCACAACAAUCCUGAACCUGAGCAACCUGAGCCACCUGAGCAGGAUGAUGAAGAAGGCAUCUGGGCAUGAUUAUUGGUAUGGCCUGGAUUGCUGCUCCUGUUCGGUUCAAAAGGGAAGUCUAAUGCUGAAGCUCUAUCUAUCACUGCACUGUCUCAUCCUUAUCUCUGUGAGGAGGGUCUCAUCUUUAACCCAGGCAGAAGGGGGGGGGACAGGGAGAAAGAAAAUAAAGAGGAGAGGAGUGAAUGAUCAGAAGGAAGUGGGCAGAAAUCUAAUCGCUGACAGCUGCUGCUCUUCUCAUCAGCUGCUCCUCUUCUGCUUCCUCACUGAAGCUCCUCAUCACUAUUUGUACCAUAAUUGGGCCCUGUAACUGCCAUCAUUGCAAUUUCACUCCAAAUACCUGGACCUUAUGAAUCUUCAUCAUUAACACUUCCAUUACACUAAUAUCAUGUGUUAUUGCUUCAUUAUUAUUCAUGUUGUGAGCAUUACUCACAACACCAAUGUUGAAUGAAUAGUGAACCUACAGUAUAUGUGAAUAGUGAAUGAAUAGUAACCUAAAUGUGAUCAUAGUUGUUAUUAACAUAUGAAAUGGUUUUGUUGUUCUUUUAUCCUGCCUUAAGUAGGAUUUUGAUGAGAAAAUUAUUAGCUUAUUAUCAUUAGCUUAUUAUUUUUUGUUAUUGAAUGUUAUUUAAUAUUUAAUACAGUAUUCUGUUUCUCUACAAAAUCCCAUCGAAGCACUUGUUAAUAACAGCAUGCUUUUCCAAGAUUCACAUCACUGUUGUCUUUGAAGUCUCUAUAACUGAAUAACGACAGAGUACUGAUUCAUUUAGUGAUUCAUGGUGAUAUAACAAACAGCAGCAACGUCUUAUGAGUCAAAUGUUUUCUUAUCUUCUCUCUGCUUUACCCAAAUCCAGAUUGAACCUAGAGGAAAAUAUCUUGCUUUUCUUCAACAUCGUAUUCACAUCUAUCACUUUUUUUUUUUGUUAAGAUGUUAGUGUUCACCUGUGUGUUUUCUUUUGACAGUUAUAUGUUGUUGCUUUUCAGGGACCUGCUAAAAGAAACAGUACUAUAACUGCUUCGUAAUGAGGGUAAGGGCUUAAUAAAUCACUGACCAGACCCUUAAACUUUGACCUCUGGCUGUAAUGUCCUCAACAGUCUCAGUACCUGAAGCCAAAACUAGUGAAGAAGGAAGGAAAUUGUAAAUAGGGUGUUUAAUCUUUACGCAAAAUGUGCCAAAAUGUGGUGGUGUUUUUUUUUAAUAUUGUAACUUCAUGUGAUUGAUCCUGUGGGCUCAUGAACAAACAAGAGGCCUAGUUAUGUGUAUGAUUAUGUGUAUACGCAUUGUAUGAUUUAUUGAACUUUGUGUUAAACUGAAGGUUAUGCACUGUAUGUAUCCAUGGUUCUUGUAAAUUGUGGAGUACUAUUUGCACAUUUCCUUGCAGAGAAGGCUACCAAUAGCAAAGUUGACCCCAAGAAAAAAAAAACACAUAUAUAGUUUGGGGUUUAAACCAUGGUCUGGUUAACAUUAUUCAUAAAAUGCAGUUCUAUCUUGCUAGGAGCUGCUGCAUUUAGAAGCUGCAUUGAGUAACAUUGGCUAGUUUAAUUUCUCAGAACCAGAUGCCACACUGUGCCUUUUCCCCCUGACACAUGUACAAUGAAAUCAGAAGACAUACAGUAAUAGCGUAAAAUGUAUUUCAAUUUGUGUUGAGAAAUGCAUGGUACAAUUCAAAGUGAUGGUUGUGUUUAUUCAUCUUUAAUCACAGGAAUUAGUCUGAUUUCAUUUUUUUAUCAGUUGAAAUCUGAAAGCUUUUGCUAUAGAUUUGGUGUAUGAAUGAAACGAAUAAAUAAAAACCUGAUGA